rnacentral:rRNA from 1 species
UACAGAGGUCUCAAGCGUUGUUCGGAUUCAUUGGGCGUAAAGGGUGUGUAGGUGGCGCGCUAAGUCGGGUGUGAAAUUUCGGAGCUUAACUCCGAAACUGCAUUCGAUACUGGCGUGCUUGAGGACUGGAGAGGAGACUGGAAAUUCAUGGUGUAGCAGUGAAAUGCGUAGAGAUCAUGAGGAAGACCAGUGGCGAAGGCGGGUCUCUGGACAGUUCCUGACACUGAGACACGAAGGCUAGGGGAGCAAACGGG